GUUUGAUCCUGGCUCAGAAUCAACGCUGGCGGCGUGCCUCAGACAUGCAAGUCGAACGAUUAAAGCUCUCUUCGGAGAGUGUAUAGAGUGGCGCACGGGUGAGUAACACGUAAGUAAUCUACCCUCGAGUGGGGAAUAACAACCGGAAACGGUUGCUAAUACCGCAUAAUGCAGCGGCACCGCAAGGUGACAGUUGUUAAAGAUUUAUCGCUUGAGGAGGAGCUUGCGGCAGAUUAGCUAGUUGGUAGGGUAACGGCUUACCAAGGCUACGAUCUGUAACCGGUCUAAGAGGACGGUCGGUCACACUGACACUGAAUAACGAGUCAGACUCCUACGGGAGGCAGCAGUCGGGAAUUUUGGGCAAUGGGCGAAAGCCUGACCCAGCAACGCCGCGUGAAGGAUGAAGUAUUUCGGUAUGUAAACUUCGAAAGAAUAGGAAGAAUUAAUGACGGUACUAUUUAUAAGGUCCGGCUAACUACGUG
rnacentral:rRNA from 1 species